GAUCUGCUCAUUAACUGAUUAGCUAUCGGUUACGUUAAUGUGCGAAAUCGACAUUUUGCCUCUAAAUAUAGGCAUAAUGUUCAUAUUAACGGUUUAAGUACUCUUAGGGUUAGGAUAGGGUUGCAAGCUCCUGCAAAUAACUAUAAAAUAAUAAUUCAAUUUAUUAAGCGCUGUUAACAAAGCACUAUAAACUCUUGCAGAGCUGACUUUUUGUGUCAAAACGCAAGAGUUAAGUCGAAGAUAACUACAACAUUACGUAGUACCUGGACAAGUGGAUCCUGGUAGUUGGUGAUAAAUACAAAAUGUGUACUCUUCUAAUUCUGUUCUAAUGUUGCUGCUCGGCGGUCUGGAAGUUCAACAAGAAAACAGCGCCCACUUUCUCUUUCUACUGCGCCAAAUACCUAUAUUGUUCAUACCUCACAACCAGCAAAGACAUACCUGACUUACUAGGCGUCCCAUUUUUACCACUGGAGCAAUACACCACAGAUAUAUAUAUAUAUAUGGAGAGAGAGCAUAAAGGAAGGGUCACGGAUUGCAGAUGUCAUACACAACAGAAGCAGAAAGAAGGGUAAAAAUGCAACGGCGCCUGGUGAUUAUAUAUACCCAACCUGCGAUCGCAGCAGUGUAUCAAGGAUUGGCCUCUUUAGUCACACAAGAAGUUGCAAAGGAUUUGAUUUGGUGAUCCCUCUUCAGAAACAUCAGAUCAAAGGAAUGUACAUGCUGCUGAUAUAGAAAAAGUUUCUGACUGCUUACAGAUCAGUGUUCUUAUUUCUGCUAUUGAUUUACUAUUGCAUAAUAAAUAAACAUGUAAUGAUCAAUCACAUUUUUAUACCAAGUUCAUCUAAUGAUUUACACAGCAUAUUAUCAGCAUUCACAGUUCAUCUAAUGAUCUACAUAUGAAGCAGCACCAUGCAGAGCUAACAUCACCUACUGAAGAGAGUUUCCAUCAUGCUUUAGCAACAAUCCAAAAACAAAAUGAAAAAGUGGUUUCUUUGUUUGGGACAAGUCCUGAAAGGCCUUCAGAAUCUGGGAGCACACUAUUGUUAACAAGCAGUGUGUCAUAUGACCAGCACAAUGACCAACAGCCUUUACUUUUCGAACCAAAGUCAGGACACUGUUCAAAGAUAUUUUAAGAUGUUGGCCUCACAUCUUGACACUUGUUAGAGUGUAAAGAUUUGACUUAACAAAUGUUAAAAUAAAAAGAGCACAUUGUGGAGAGUUGACCGUCAUUAAAAAAUGAUUGUCAGACUUCUGCUAGAUGUUGAUCUUUUCAUCACAACACCAAUAACUUCUUCUUGGAGUCAAGUAACAGUGUAUAUCACCUGAAAAAGCUAUUUAAAUUCCCUUAAAGAUCACAAAUUAAUGCUGAUGACAUAAAGCACAUUUAUCCACGAAAUCUUAUGAACACAUAAUAUUAUGUUGUACAACUAAAUAGUGGUGUCUGGAAAUUUAGGCAGUGUGUAUGUAGUGUAUAUGCUUAUUUAUUAUUUAUCUGUUUCUUAAACAUAGGCUUAUGUUCCCCGCGCUACCCAAACUAUAAUUCGGAGUGUGAAACAUAACAGAUUAACAGGUGCUAUAUUAUGUUUCGUUUAACAAAGAUUUUCUUACACUCUACAUAUUCCUCCCCCCCCCCGAGAGGUGGGCCAGGGGUAGUGGUAAGUAUUAUAAUCACGGACUGAGAAGACCUAACGGCGAGCGAGAAAGGGGUUACGUCGUCACUAGAUCUGUGUCAGCUCAAUACAAUUUUUUCUCUUCGUGGUGUAGUCUUAAUCAUAAACAGAUAAAAAUUAAAGUUUUAAGAUACUGUUAAUCUUCUAUAAUAAAAUGCUUAUUUCUUAUAGUAAUACGUUUCCCGCACUAGAUCUUUAUAAUUUAUUGUCAUUGCUCUAUAUAGUAUAGAUCACUUACUCACAAUGCAUACUUUUGUUGAAAAGAAAAAUAAUUAAACAUAUCGUGUAGAUAUAGAUGCGUGUUUCAUUAUGUUCGUGUAUAUUUUUGUUUUAUUUUAUCAAUAUUUCGCUUUGCUUGGUGACUUAAUAGAUAAAAUAUAAAUCUAAUUGUUAAUAUAUAUUUUGUUGUUGAUAAUUUCUUAAAUAGAAAAAAAGAAGAAAUAACAAGUUGUUCAUCAAAUGAUUAUUAACAUUUUAUUUAGACCUUCAUUUGAGUAAAUAAAAAAAAACAUAGUUGAACGCAUAAGAACAAAACACUCUCUUUAAAACAUGUUAUUUGAAGUUCAAUAUAGAUAAAGGAGAUCAAUAUGCUUAAAAACAACAUGGUGGGCGGAAUAGAUCUAGUUAUCUGGGCGUCUGAACUUCUAAAUCUUGUAUAUCUAGUUCUAGAUCUAGAGCAGGGCUGAGCAAAUAACGACCCCCCUGGCCACAAGUGGCCCGCUGGAGUGUUUUAUGUUCUAAUAUUACUGUAAGAACUGGUCGAUGCUGACUGACAGUAAUUUAACAGCAGUCGCAAGGAUUACAACUAGUAAUAUAUCUAAAACAUUUUUAAUCUUUUAAUUUUCACAAUGAAAUCAUUUUCUUUUUACUCCAGCGCAAGAACACCAUCCAAUCCAAUCACUCGUUCAGCCUUUUUUUUUUUUUUAUACAUUUGCGUCAUUCGCGAUUUCACUAGUUGGUCACGUGACAGGGCCCAGCUCUUGUCCCUAUCGGUUAUACAAAUGGGUCAAAUGAAAUUUUCUUUAAUUGUGAUUAAUUUAAUUUAGCCAUAGAAAGAAAUAAUGAUGUAGCGCUGUCUUUAAUCUAGAAUAAAUAAUCAAUGUAAUGUAGGUCGAUUGUAUUUAAUAUUUAAUAGAUCUAUAUCUCAUGUUUAUUGUGUAUUUCAAAUAAAUGUUGUUGUU